rnacentral:misc_RNA from 1 species
CUGUAUACAAGAAAGAAAUACGAAACCCAACACUAAAAACAGGGGCCAGAAUUGGGUUAAAUUAAGAAAUACAAAAGGUUGGCUCAGGUAAGCCGUCUCAAAAGAAUUAAGUAAUAAACAAAGGUGAAAAAUAACAAAAGAAUUGGGUUAGUCCCUUGAUUCAUCCUUAUUGUUUACUGAUAUCAUUUUAAGCACCAGCAGUGCUCCAUCUGCUGCCUGUCUUGACCUGCUGUUGACUGUAAUUGUCAACCCAUGACCAAAAUUCAUUCCUUCCUCUCUGAAAUAGCUUAGGCUACAGGAAUUGGGGUCCUUGGACUAGGGAUGCCCAUAUACGCAAGCCUAGGGGAGACCCUAACCUUUGGACUGGGGCGUGGAGAUGGGAUCGGGCCAUAGUUGCUAAAAGUCCCAGGAGGCACCCUAGGAGAUAGGUUAACCUGUUCCAAUGCUCUUGAUUGCAGCUCUGUAGGGUAGUC